rnacentral:rRNA from 1 species
AUACGGGGGGUGCAAGCGUUGUCCGGAAUCAUUGGGCGUAAAGGGUUCGUAGGUGGAAUUAUAAGUCUGGUGUGAAAGCCCACAGCUCAACUGUGGAACUGCACUGGAUACUGUUUUUCUUGAGUUAUAGAGGGGUUUGUGGAAUUUCUGGUGUAGAGGUGAAAUUUGUAGAGAUCAGAAAGAACACCGGUGGCGAAGGCGACAAACUGGCUAUUAACUGACACUGAGGAACGAAAGCGUGGGGAGCGAACAGGAUUAGAAACCCUAGUAGUCC